rnacentral:misc_RNA from 1 species
AGCAGCCGCGGUAAUUCCAGCUCCAAUAGCGUAUAUUAAAGUUGUUGCAGUUAAAAAGCUCGUAGUUGAAUUUCGGGAUUAGUAAGUUGGUCGUGCCUCUGGUAUGUACUGGCUUUACUGGUUCCUCCUUCUUGAAGAACUGUAAUGUCAUUAAUUUGGUGUUGCAGGGAAACAGGACUGUUACUUUGAAAAAAUUAGAGUGUUUAAAGCAGGCUAACGCUUGAAUACAUUAGCAUGGAAUAAUGAAAUAGGACGUUUGAUCCUAUUUUGUUGGUUUCUAGGAUUGACGUAAUGAUUAAUAGGGAUAGUUGGGGGCAUUAGUAUUCAAUUGUCAGAGGUGAAAUUCUUGGAUUUAUUGAAGACUAACUACUGCGAAAGCAUUUGCCAAGGAUGUUUUCAUUAAUCAAGAACGAAAGUUAGGGGGUCGAAGACGAUCAGAUACUGUCGUAGUCUUAACCAUAAACUAUGCCGACUAGGGAUCGGAUGAUGUUAAUUUUUUAAUGUACUCAUUCGGCGCCUU